rnacentral:rRNA from 1 species
UACGUAGGGUGCGAGCGUUAAUCGGAAUUACUGGGCGUAAAGCGUGCGCAGGCGGUGAUGUAAGACAGUUGUGAAAUCCCCGGGCUCAACCUGGGAACUGCAUCUGUGACUGCAUUGCUGGAGUGCGGCAGAGGGGGAUGGAAUUCCGCGUGUAGCAGUGAAAUGCGUAGAUAUGCGGAGGAACACCGAUGGCGAAGGCAAUCCCCUGGGCCUGCACUGACGCUCAUGCACGAAAGCGUGGGAGCAAACAGG